rnacentral:rRNA from 1 species
GACGAACGCUGGCGGCGUGCUUAACACAUGCAAGUCGAACGGAAAGGCCCUGCUUUUGUGGGGUGCUCGAGUGGCGAACGGGUGAGUAACACGUGAGUAACCUGCCCUUGCCUUUGGGAUAACUUCAGGAAACUGGGGCUAAUACCGGAUAGGAGCUCCUGCUGCAUGGUGGGGGUUGGAAAGUUUCGGCGGUUGGGGAUGGACUCGCGGCUUAUCAGCUUGUUGGUGGGGUAGUGGCUUACCAAGGCUUUGACGGGUAGCCGGCCUGAGAGGGUGACCGGCCACAUUGGGACUGAGAGACGCGCCAGACUACUACGGAAGGCAGCAGUGGGGAAUAUUUCCCAAUGGGCGGGAUCCUGAAGCAGCAUCGCCGGGUUCAGGAUGAUGGCCUUCGUGAUGGAAACCGCUUUCGCCUGUGACGAAGCGUGAGGAACGCUAAUGAAUAGAUAGGCACCGACGAAAUACCGG